UAUUAAAUUAAAAGGACCAAAUGAGGGAGAAAAUUUAUACAGCAUAUUAGGGCACAUUAAUAUGAAGACGCCCAAGAAAUAUAUAAGUGAACAGACAUUUGAUUCGAUCUAUAUUUUUGCGUCCGCAAAAUCUUAAAAAAAGUACUUUAAGUAUACUUGAUGUGUAUCUUUUAUAGGAAUCGUGUAUUUUUACUAGUGACUUAAAGUUUAUCAUCAGUUGCAACUCAUACUAGCGUAUGGCGCUUUACAAUAAAAGAAGGUGAUUAAUUUGUUAUAGGGUCAAUUUUAUAUGGCAGUUGAAGUUUUCACUGGUGAAGUGAACUACCCUUCUAGAUAUUGCAAAUAUACGUCUUUCACUUUAGAAGCUUUAGGAUAGAAGGUAUCAAUUGACAUCUAAUUAUAUAAAGCAUCAAUUUCAUUAAAAAACGUUUAACACCGAAUCAUAAAA
rnacentral:lncRNA from 1 species